AACGAACGCUGGCGGCAGGCUUAACACAUGCAAGUCGAGCGCCCCGCAAGGGGAGCGGCAGACGGGUGAGUAACGCGUGGGAAUCUACCCAUCUCUACGGAAUAACGCAUGGAAACGUGUGCUAAUACCGUAUACGUCCUUCGGGAGAAAGAUUUAUCGGAGAUGGAUGAGCCCGCGUUGGAUUAGCUAGUUGGUGGGGUAAAGGCCUACCAAGGCGACGAUCCAUAGCUGGUCUGAGAGGUUGAUCAGCAACACUGGGACUGAGACACGGCCCAGACUCCUACGGGAGGCAGCAGUGGGGAAUAUUGGACAAUGGGCGCAAGCCUGAUCCAGCCAUGCCGCGUGAGUGAUGAAGGCCCUAGGGUUGUAAAGCUCUUUCACCGGUGAAGAUAAUGACGGUAACCGGAGAAGAAGCCCCGGCUAACUUCGUGCCAGCCGCCGCGGUAAUAC
rnacentral:rRNA from 1 species